rnacentral:rRNA from 2 species
UAUUGAUUGGUGCUUGCAUCAUGAUUUACAUUUGAGUGAGUGGCGAACUGGUGAGUAACACGUGGGAAACCUGCCCAGAAGCGGGGGAUAACACCUGGAAACAGAUGCUAAUACCGCAUAACAACUUGGACCGCAUGGUCCGAGCUUGAAAGAUGGCUUCGGCUAUCACUUUUGGAUGGUCCCGCGGCGUAUUAGCUAGAUGGUGGGGUAACGGCUCACCAUGGCAAUGAUACGUAGCCGACCUGAGAGGGUAAUCGGCCACAUUGGGACUGAGACACGGCCCAAACUCCUACGGGAGGCAGCAGUAGGGAAUCUUCCACAAUGGACGAAAGUCUGAUGGAGCAACGCCGCGUGAGUGAAGAAGGGUUUCGGCUCGUAAAACUCUGUUGUUAAAGAAGAACAUAUCUGAGAGUAACUGUUCAGGUAUUGACGGUAUUUAACCAGAAAGCCACGGCUAACUACGUGCCAGCAGCCGCGGUAAUACGUAGGUGGCAAGCGUUGUCCGGAUUUAUUGGGCGUAAAGCGAGCGCAGGCGGUUUUUUAAGUCUGAUGUGAAAGCCUUCGGCUCAACCGAAGAAGUGCAUCGGAAAUUGGGAAACUUGAGUGCAGAAGAGGACAGUGGAACUCCAUGUGUAGCGGUGAAAUGCGUAGAUAUAUGGAAGAACACCAGUGGCGAAGGCGGCUGUCUGGUCUGUAACUGACGCUGAGGCUCGAAAGUAUGGGUAGCAAACAGGAUUAGAUACCCUGGUAGUCCAUACCGUAAACGAUGAAUGCUAAGUGUUGGAGGGUUUCCGCCCUUCAGUGCUGCAGCUAACGCAUUAAGCAUUCCGCCUGGGGAGUACGGCCGCAAGGCUGAAACUCAAGGAUUUGACGGGGGCCCGCACAAGCGGUGGAGCAUGUGGUUUAAUUCGAAGCUACGCGAAGAACCUUACCAGGUCUUGACAUACUAUGCAAAUCUAA